UUCGCAAUGCCCGAAAGGGUGACGAAGCGACGCCGCGUGUGGGAAGAAGGCCUUCGGGUUGUAAACCACUGUCGGGAGUUAAGAAAUGUAAGGGUGUUAAUAGCAUUCUUACUUGACGUUAGCUCCGGAGGAAGCCACAGCUAACUCUGUGCCAGCAGCCGCGGUAAUACAGAGGUGGCAAGCGUUGUUCGGAAUUAUUGGGCGUAAAGAGCACGUAGGCGGCCCUGCAAGUCAGCUGUGAAAUCCUUCUGCUCAACGGAAGAACGGCAGUUGAUACUACAGGGCUCGAGUGCGGGAGGGGAGAGUGGAACUUCUGGUGGAGCGGUGAAAUGCGUAGAUAUCAGAAGGAACAUCGGCGGCGAAAGCGACUCUCUGGCCCGUAACUGACGCUGAGUGUGCGAAAGCUAGGGGAGCAAACGGGAUUAGAUACCCCGGUAGUCCUAGCCGUAAACGAUGGGCACUAAGUAGAGGGGUUUU
rnacentral:rRNA from 1 species